GUGCCAGCAGCCGCGGUAAUACGUAAGGGGCAAGCGUUGUCCGGAAUCACUGGGCGUAAAGGGCGCGUAGGCGGUUUUGUAAGUAGAAGGUGAAAGAUUCGGGCUCAACCCGAAAACUGCCUUCUAAACUGCAUUACUUGAGGGUCUGAGGGGAAGCUGGAAUUCACGGUGUAGCGGUGAAAUGCGUAGAUAUCGUGGAGAACACCCGUGGCGAAAGCGGGCUUCUGGCAGACUCCUGACGCUGAGGCGCGAAGGCUAGGGGAGCAAACGGGAUUAGAAACCCCCGUAGUCC
rnacentral:rRNA from 1 species